GACGAACGCUGGCGGCGUGCUUAACACAUGCAAGUCGAACGGAAAGGCCCCUUUGGGGGUACUCGAGUGGCGCACGGGUGAGUAACACGUGAGUAACCUGCCCUUGACUUCGGGAUAACUUCAGGAAACUGGGGCUAAUACCGGAUAGGAAUCCUUGCUGCAUGGUGGGGGUUGGAAAGCUUCGGCGGUUUUGGAUGGACUCGCGGCUUAUCAGCUUGUUGGUGGGGUAGUGGCUUACCAAGGCUUUGACGGGUAGCCGGCCUGAGAGGGCGACCGGCCACAUUGGGACUGAGAUACGGCCCAGACUCCUACGGGAGGCAGCAGUGGGGAAUAUUGCACAAUGGGCGGAAGCCUGAUGCAGCAACGCCGCGUGCGGGAUGACGGCCUUCGGGUUGUAAACCGCUUUCAGCAGGGGCGAAGCUUGUGGUGACGGUACCUGCAGAAGAAGCACCGGCUAACUACGUG
rnacentral:rRNA from 1 species